rnacentral:rRNA from 1 species
GAGUUUGAUCCUGGCUCAGGAUGAACGCUGGCGGCGUGCUUAACACAUGCAAGUCGAGCGAAGCGCUUAAGUUUGAUUCUUCGGAUGAAGACUUUUGUGACUGAGCGGCGGACGGGUGAGUAACGCGUGGGUAACCUGCCUCAUACAGGGGGAUAACAGUUAGAAAUGACUGCUAAUACCGCAUAAGACCACGGUACCGCAUGGUACAGUGGUAAAAACUCCGGUGGUAUGAGAUGGACCCGCGUCUGAUUAGGUAGUUGGUGGGGUAACGGCCUACCAAGCCGACGAUCAGUAGCCGACCUGAGAGGGUGACCGGCCACAUUGGGACUGAGACACGGCCCAGACUCCUACGGGAGGCAGCAGUGGGGAAUAUUGCACAAUGGAGGAAACUCUGAUGCAGCGACGCCGCGUGAAGGAUGAAGUAUUUCGGUAUGUAAACUUCUAUCAGCAGGGAAGAAAAUGACGGUACCUGACUAAGAAGCCCCGGCUAACUACGUGCCAGCAGCCGCGGUAAUACGUAGGGGGCAAGCGUUAUCCGGAUUUACUGGGUGUAAAGGGAGCGUAGACGGCACGGCAAGCCAGAUGUGAAAGCCCGGGGCUCAACCCCGGGACUGCAUUUGGAACUGCUGAGCUAGAGUGUCGGAGAGGCAAGUGGAAUUCCUAGUGUAGCGGUGAAAUGCGUAGAUAUUAGGAGGAACACCAGUGGCGAAGGCGGCUUGCUGGACGAUGACUGACGUUGAGGCUCGAAAGCGUGGGGAGCAAACAGGAUUAGAUACCCUGGUAGUCCACGCCGUAAACGAUGACUGCUAGGUGUCGGGUGGCAAAGCCAUUUGGUGCCGCAGUUAACGCAAUAAGCAGUCCACCGGGGGAGGACGUUCGCAAGGAAAUGAAACUCAAAGGAAAUGACGGGGGACCCCGCACAAGCGGUGGGAGCAUGUGGUUUAAUUGGAAAGCAACGCGAAGAACCUUACCUGAUCUUGACAUCCCGAUGACCGCUUCGUAAUGGAAGUUUUUCUUCGGAACAUCGGUGACAGGUGGUGCAUGGUUGUCGUCAGCUCGUGUCGUGAGAUGUUGGGUUAAGUCCCGCAACGAGCGCAACCCCUAUCUUCAGUAGCCAGCAGGUUAAGCUGGGCACUCUGGAGAGACUGCCAGGGAUAACCUGGAGGAAGGUGGGGAUGACGUCAAAUCAUCAUGCCCCUUAUGACCAGGGCUACACACGUGCUACAAUGGCGUAAACAAAGAGAAGCGAACUCGCGAGGGUAAGCAAAUCUCAAAAAUAACGUCUCAGUUCGGAUUGUAGUCUGCAACUCGACUACAUGAAGCUGGAAUCGCUAGUAAUCGCAGAUCAGAAUGCUGCGGUGAAUACGUUCCCGGGUCUUGCACUCACCGCCCGUCA